UUUUUAUUUCUUUCUUUCUUCUUCGUUCCUCUCUGUAGUGAGUGGACGUAAAGUCUCUCCGCUCCGCAAGCUCUCUCGUUUCGUUGGUUUUGGGUGAUACUUUUAUCAAUCGAUGACGAUGGCUUUGAUUGAAACGCUUCUUCUCUGUGCCACGUCUUCAGAGGUUUUGUUCCUCUGACUCUCUAGUACAUCGUCUUCACUCGUUCGUUUUGUUUCGUUGGUGGUUUUGGAUUAUUUCAGGUAUUGGAUGAUGCUUUUUAUCAAUCAAUGAUGGAAACACUUCUUCUGUGUGCUACGUCUUAAUGGGUUUUGUUCUUCCUCUAAUUAUAUGUCUUAAUACAUCUUUUACUUUUUUUUCUAUAUAUAAGUACUGUACUGAAUUAACAUCUCAUUCUCUCUUUUGAUGUAGAUCGUGUGAUGGCUUUGACUGAUCCUUAUCACUCUCAUUCAAUGUUGCUCUUCCGGGUUUGGUUUCUAAGUUUCUAUGUUAUUUCAGGUAUUGGAUGAUGCUUUGAUCGAUCAGUGAUGGCUUUGAUGGACACGCUUCUUCUCUGUUUUAAAGUCUUCAUGGAUCGAGGAGGCACCUGGAUUGUUGACGGUGUGGGAGGUUCAAAUAGAAAACAUUGUGGGAGUUUAACUUUCAGAUGUUCUUACUGUGUACACACACACAUUCAGAUUAGAGAUGCUCCACAAAUUCUUUCCCAGACGAAUCGUGGAUAUUUUCUCGUCUAUCAUCUGUUUAGAGAUUCUUUAUAUUUGUUGCAGUAUAUGGAAAAACACUUAUGCUGAAUUAUUGUAGCUGGACUUGAUGGAGAUGUGAUUAGCUGGACUUGAUGCAGCUAAACACGCUUUGUUGGAGAUGGUUAUAUUACCGGCAAAACGAAGAGAUUUGUUCACUGGUAUCCGGAGACCAGAGAGAGGUAAAAUUUGCAACUGUGGUUUCUUCUUGAUCUUAUGCAGUGCCAUCCUUGGUAAAAAAAAUAUCAUUUCAGGUAUGCUUCUCUUUGACUUCAAAAUGGGUGUAUGCUUUUUCUGUCACUGUGCUUUUUAUGGCUUCUUGAAAUUAUUU